rnacentral:rRNA from 1 species
GACAUAGGUGGCAAACGUUAUCCGGAAUUAUUGGGCGUAAAGAGUGCGUAGGUGGUUUAAUAAGUUAGUAGUGGUAAAUUGGGGCUCAACUCCAUGGAAGUUACUAAUACUAUUAAACUAGAGGAUCGGAGAGGUUAACGGAAUUCUAUGUGUAGCGGUAAAAUGCUCAAAUAUAUAGAGGAACAACAAUUGGCGAAGGCAGUUAACUAUUCGGUUCCUGACGUUGAGGCACGAAAGCGUGGGGAGCAAGACGG